UUGGUGUGUGCAGCGGAGAGUCUCCGCAGGUGAGGUGGAGAUCCAGGGAAACAGUGCCCGCAUUCCUCAGACUCUGACCGCUCUAUCCAAUCUCUCCCGGGGAGAACGCGCUCUGGAGAGGCAGUGUUGUUUUGGCACUAAAUCCCCUGCGCCUACAGACCAUAUGUCCUUGAGUCACUAAUUUAGCCGCAGAACUGAAUUCGUAUAUCCUGAUAUGUCGAAGUCACUAAAAAUCACCAGAGGUUGUCUAGACUCGUUACCAGUGACGUAAACCGCCAGGAGCUUUCUCCGGCUGUAUAAUGUCGAGAUCAUGAGGACGGAACUAGCGAUUUGAAUACUCGGAUUUCUUCGUUGAGAUUUCUUACCGUAAACACCUGGCCUAUCUGGACUGUAAAGUUCACGUAAUGUCGCUAAAUGGUGCUACUUGGUAUAGCCUAGAUGGUAAAGUUUCAUAAGACUAUCCUUACAAGCACGCAAUUUAUCUCGUCUGGCUGGUCCAAGUGGGUUCUUAAAGCGCGCUGUAACAAGUGGAUUUAUCGGGUAGAGCGCGGGCCGAGAAAGGGUAGCCAAGGGUACACUGGUUCACCGCCGGUUCCUCCUCGCGCACGUUCUUAUAUCCAGGAAAGGUCGACAAGUAUCGGUUUUGAGUGCCUUCAACUCCAACCGAUCCCCCGACGGGAAUAUCGAUCCAGACCCGAAGCGUGGGGUGGGAGAGAGAGAAAAUUGAUAAAAGGUUCAGAGAUCCGUCUCCUCUCCGGUAGCGCUAUCUCUUUCUCUCCAGGUCGUAGGCUAUACAGCUUCCUCCCUGCCUCGGUUUGUGUUUUGUGGGGAGAGGAUAGAUUGGUUACCAAGAGAGGGAGAGGGCGAACGCUGGACGGGCUCGGGGUUGGUUAAGAGAUGCCAUUGGACAGGGACGAGUUAAAGUCAAGCGUGUCAUGUGACGUCUUGUUCCCCUCACUCUUUCCUUCUCUCGUGUUUUUCUCCCAACAUGUCCUUCUUCAUUUGUGAGAAG
ensembl:lncRNA